rnacentral:rRNA from 1 species
CAGUCGCCGCGGGAAAACGAAGGGGGCUAGCGUUGUUCGGAUUUACUGGGCGUAAAGCGCACGUAGGCGGAUCGAUCAGUCAGGGGUGAAAUCCCAGAGCUCAACUCUGGAACUGCCUUUGAUACUGUCGAUCUGGAGUAUGGAAGAGGUGAGUGGAAUUCCGAGUGUAGUGGUGAAAUUCGUAGAUAUUCGGAGGAACACCAGUGGCGAAGGCGGCUCACUGGUCCAUUACUGACGCUGAGGUGCGAAAGCGUGGGGAGCAAACAGGAUUAGAUACCCCGGUAGUCCCUGUCUCUUAUAC